rnacentral:misc_RNA from 1 species
ACAAAAAGAUUUUACAAGGAGGAUACCCGUCAUUAGAUAACCAGACACUAGGAUACACCAUGUCGGGCGUUCUCUGGGUUCUGACUUUGGGGGCAUUGGUUGCCGGUUGCUGGGCCGUGGAUCAGACCCGACAGCCCGGGGCCCUGGGGGCCUCUGUGGUCGAGUCGGUGGUCAGCCUCAUUAGGGAGUCCUGUCUUUUCGCAGACGACAAACGUUUUCUCCGACGUCUGGCCUACGUGCAGUCAAGAGACGGGACGGAUCCCAAGACCUACGGCAGGAGUAAUUAUCAUGGCGGAAUCUGGCAGGUGGACCAAGAUAAGUUCCGGGAAACCCAAACGACAUCUGGACUGCAGAACGAGAAGAACAUAAUCAGAAACACGUUCGGAAUCAACUGGGACUACGUCACGUGGUCGGAUCUUCGGAAACCCUUGUACUCGGGUAUUGCUGCCGCACUGUAUACUAAGCUGCAUAGUGUAGUGGCUUGGAGGAUAGAGGACCAAGCAAAUACCUAUGAAAGCUUGUUUCAGUCAUCUGGGGGCCACAAUUUCACAAAUUUGGCUCAGCUUCUCGACCAAGGUUGCCAUGGAAAUGAAGCAAUCGAUUUAGUUUUUGUUGUUGACAGUUCCAAUUCCCUAUCGAGUGACGAUUUCACCAGAGCGAAAUAUUUCAUGAGUAACGUUGUUGACGCUUUCAAUAUUGCGUCGGACAAAACGCGUGUUUCGGUUAUUACAUAUUCCAAUUCGCCCCGGAUUGAAUUUCACCUGAGUGCACACACAUCGAAAACUCCGCUGAAAAACGCAAUUCAACACUUGCCUUUCCAUCCCGGAUCUACAAACACGGCGGCUGCUUUACAAUCGGUAAUAAACAGCGUUUUUACGUACAGUCGUCCCAAUGCAGCAAAAGUUGUCAUCGUCAUUACAGACGGGCAGUCUGAUGACGUCAUCAACACCCAACACGCUGCUGAUAACGCUAAAAGUGGCGGCGUCAUAAUGUUUUCUGUCGGCGUAGGUUCAAGGAUUGACACCAGUGAGCUCAACUACAUGGCCUCCACGCCGUCUUGUACCCACGUGUUCACCGUGUCCGGCUAUGACGAAAUACGGGCACUCAAAGAAGAACUCAUUCAGAGUUCUUGUCGAGCUCCCGUUUACAUAAACAGCACAUUUAGCUGUGUCAUAGAGAAAUGUCCACCACUGGCUGUUUUGACGUCGAUUCCGGGAGUCACAUUGGAGACAAACAUGACUUGCGGGGUGGGAAACAUCUACACAGCCUUCAGCAACGCAUACCCCGGGGAGAGCUACUACGAGACCAUCAACUCCGUGUCCCCCGGGAACCCCACCUCUGUAUUCCACAACUCCUCCGUGGACCAGACCCUGUUCAUCAACCUAGUGGACGCCCUCAAGAACCAGGCCACCGACAGCACGGGAUGUACCAUUACCAUUACUCCCUUCCACGGGGACCAUACAGACCACACCGUCAAGUGCUACGUUGAUGGAAUAAGAAUUGAAUGCCCAGAUAACUGCAAAGAGAAAUGGAACUUCCCCAAUCCUUGUACCAAAGAAAACCUGGAAAAGGGGGUCUUGAAAUUUCCCCAUCCCACAGACGUCACAAAAUACCUUAUGUGUGAUUUGUCAGGGAAGCUCUACAUCGUACAAUGUCCUCAGUUCGAGUCGUACUACCAAUCCUGUCAGCAAUGUGUCGGCAACACCUCGUCAUCUUGUAUAGUUGGCAAGAAGAACUCUACGGAUUCUUCCCCAUGCACGCUCGCAAAUCUCCAGGCUGGACGUUUCUUUUUCACCUAUCAGGCGGACAACACCAAGUUUAUCCAUUGUGACGUGUGGGGUAAGGCCUGGCUCAUGUCAUGUCCGGGGGGUGAGGUCUGGGACCAGAACAUUCUUACCUGUCUGACUUCCGUCCGCCAUCUUCCACCAACUAUGGCGGCGAUGAGGUUAACGGUUUCCUCUGCUGUCCGACAUGUCCUCGCUUUUCACCUCCUUGUACGCAUGACAAAAUAAGCGCGGGACGGCUGUUUCAUGGCAUCGCUGGAGAUCGGCACCAUUACAUCCAGUGUGACCUCACCGGAAGGAUGUAUUGUCCAAUGAGCUGCGCACCGGAAGCAGAUGGGUCUCUUGAUUACUUCAACUACUUGUCGCAGACAUGCGUGGACGGGGCUUUGUCUGGAAUUGUCGGUUGAUUAAAACAUUUAUGCAGGGGUUUUUUUUCUUGCUCGCCUCAAUGACAUAUAUUUUAUUAUUUUCAUGCUUUGUAAAAAAAAACGAAUAAAUGCUGACGAUUGU